UUAAAAAGCUCGUAGUUGAAUUUCGGGGUCAGUAGGUCGGUCGUGCCACUGGUAUGAACUGGUUUUACUGAUUCCUCCCUCUUGAAGAACUGUAAUGCCAUUAAUUUGGUGUUGCAGGGAAUCAGGACUGUUACUUUGAAAAAAUUAGAGUGUUUAAAGCAGGCUUUAGCUUGAAUACAUUAGCAUGGAAUAAUGAAAUAGGACGUUUGAUCCUAUUUUGUUGGUUUCUAGGAUUGACGUAAUGAUUAAUAGGGAUAGUUGGGGG
rnacentral:rRNA from 1 species